ACAGUACAAACUGAACAGACAGGAGCAUUUGCUCUGUGUCGGGUCACAAAAGUGACAGUGGAAUUUUUACACCCACGGGACAGU
rnacentral:ncRNA from 1 species